GGAUUUCAACGAUUCCUCCUCAUGGUCGCGUUCAGUUUCGGUCCUCGUGCGUGCUUUCAAACGACUUUUUGUGUUUUCGCGUCGUGUGAAACCGUGAUUCAGUGAUCGAGUUUAGUGCGUUUCGUGUGCCCUGUUUUUCAUCUACCUACUGGGACGGGUCUUGCAAAUGAUGGCUAUGAUUAUUCUGGAAUAUUCUGCCCGAGCUAUUUUCUUCAGAUUGGUCAGGCUCUCCGGUCAGUUUAUUGUUGGUUUCAGUGACAGUGUUGUGAGUGCUUUCAGCCUGGCGUCGGGCAAUCGGAUAACCUACCGCUGAAUCGCCUGCUGCAAGUUGCUGAUCUACGGCUGACCGGU
rnacentral:lncRNA from 1 species